GAGUUUGAUUCUGGCUCAGGAUGAACGCUGGCGGCGUGCCUAACACAUGCAAGUCGAACGAAGCGAUGAAGCGGAAGUUUUCGGACGGAAGCAUCAUUGACUUAGUGGCGGACGGGUGAGUAACGCGUGGGUAACCUGCCUCAUACAGGGGGAUAACAGUGGAAAACGACUGCUAAUACCCCAUAAGCGCACGGCAGCAAAAGCUGCAGGGCGAAAAGCGAAUACGGUAUGAGAUGGGCCCGCGUCCGAUUAGCCAGUUGGCAGGGUAAGAGCCUACCAAAGCGACGAUCGGUAGCCGGCUUGAGAGAGUGACCGGCCACAUUGGGACUGAGACACGGCCCAAACUCCUACGGGAGGCAGCAGUGGGGGAUAUUGCACAAUGGGGGGAACCCUGAUGCAGCGACGCCGCGUGAAGGAAGAAGUAUUUCGGUAUGUAAACUUCUAUCAGCAGGGAAGAAAAUGACGUACCUGACUAAGAGCACCGG
rnacentral:rRNA from 1 species